AUUUGCGUCUGUAUUUGAUGACGUUGCAGGUUGUUCAGGAUGAAUGCAUUUGGUGAAGCAAACUUCAAUAGAAGAUGUGAAUGGAGACACCGCAAACUUAUGCCCUUUAGUGUGUCCUGUUGCUUUCUCCAGCCUCCUGUCACUCCACAGUACUGGAAGUAAAACCCUGCUGGUGGCACCGGUCAUCUCCCCCACAGUUUCCUAGCAAAGGAUGACAACAGCGGCGUGGGCGAGUAGAAUAACAGGAUACAAACUUUGCACUUGUGGGCAGCGGAUAGGGUUGACUCGACAUCCAACGUGAGCUUUGGCUCGCAUUCAGCUGAGAUUUGGAACGAGAACUGAUGGAUAGCCCUGUCUCCAUAACCCAUAAAUAAUCAACACUUUCAGUACCUAGGCAUGAACAACUGUGGAGUAAACAGUGAUUUACUAACAGUGGAAAGGGAAUCUCAACACCGUUUAACAGUUCACUGUACUUCUGAACAGGGCUGCUUUCAACAGGAUGUGGCACUCUCUAAAGGGGGUUUAGAGAAGCCAAAAGCUGCUCUCGCUCCCUGAAACAAGACCCUCCAGUGCAAAAGAGAGAGACUCUUCCUCAGAGGCUGUGUAUCCACCCACUGUCCUCUCCCAUGGCCCUGACUCACCAUGUCCAGCAGCCUCCACUUCCCAGUGAUGGGGCGUUCUGUUCACCAAGAGGAAGCAUUGCGUGUAUUUAUAGACAUUUCUCGUAUGAGAAGUCUGAACAAUAACAAACCCCCACCCCCACAGCCACUUCACCACCACAACACAAAAUAAGGUAAGGAGGGGUGGCUCGCAAGUGAGUGCUGAUAGAAUCAAACUUUAGUUUCGCUGUUCGAUGAUGACAGGAAAAUAAAACUGAGAGCACUGCACUCUUGUUACAGUUUACAAGGUGGUUUUGACAGCUAACAUAGAACUGGGUGAUUUCAGUGUGACAGUAAUCAGGGAAAAAACUGGGUUAUCAUGCAAUUUUGGUGCCUGCAUUAUCAGCUCAAUUUAUCUUAGAUAAAAAAAAACUCAGUUACAUAUAUCAACAACUGUUUGUAUGUCUUCAAAGAAGAUUAAGAAUGAAUAGUUGUUCAAACACUUGCCAUGAAUAUGGUGCACUCUGCCGCUUCUGUAACUUUUUAAAGCAUUAUAGACACAAAUUCAUUCAUUUUUUCUGAGAUUAUUAUCUAACAUAAAAUUAGCCUAGCAUGAAAAAAAGCAAGUUUUAAACAUCAAAUAUCAGUAUCCUCCCUCAUUUUGUCCUGUCACACCUCAAAGGUCUUUGUACAUUUUUGGUUUGACUGUACAGUCAAACCAAA